rnacentral:rRNA from 1 species
UACGGGGGGGGCAAGCGUUGUUCGGAAUUACUGGGCGUAAAGGGCUCGUAGGUGGCCAGCUAAGUCAGACGUGAAAUCCCUCAGCUUAACUGGGGAACUGCGUCUGAGACUGGAUGGCUUGAGUGCAGGAGAGGAACACGGAAUUCCAGGUGUAGCGGUGAAAUGCGUAGAUAUCUGGAGGAACACCGGUGGCGAAGGCGGCGUUCUGGACUGCUACUGACACUGAGGAACGAAAGCCAGGGGAGCAAACGGG